AACAAAAGGAAAAAAAAAAGAAACACGGUUAAAGGGUAUCUUGUUAAUCUAAUAACAUUUUUUUUCUCGUCUUCUCAGCCGUUGCUCUUCGCUCCAUCCAUGGCGAAUUAGGGUUCCAAGUUCUUCAUUCGUGUCUUGUCAAUCCUUUCCUCUCUUUGUAGCUGAAUCCAUGUUUCUCCUGUGUGACGACAGGAAGAUUAUGUUGUUAUUCUGCUUUAUGAUAUGUAGAAAAUCAGACGACCCCGUGUCAGACAGGCUGAUUCGCGUGAUGCAUCAUGUCUAUUCGAAGCAUAUCAAACCGAAGAAUGGAGGAGUGUUUCGUGACGGCGGCACGUCGGUCCAUUGCCGGCGGAGGAGGGGAAGCGAUAACGACCCUUCCUAUGGAUCCAACUUCUUCUUCUUCUUCUUCACCUCUUAGAUGGAGAAUCCUUCGCCAAGCUCUUAUCAUUAGAUCUGGUGAAUGAUUUCUCAUAGCUAACGAAUCAAUUAUCUCUCAAAAAUUUUCACUCAGAUUCUCAAUCUGAAGCUGAGAUCAAGCGGGUUUCAAGGAAAGCAACUCAAGGAUUCAACUUGAUUCCUUGUCAGGUGGUUGUUUCUUCUUCGGAAGAUUCUCGGGAAGCAUGAGUUUGCUACACAAUUCCCAUUCCUCCUUUUCCCAAACUCUAUCUAACCAGACAAAGAGUGGAUAAUUGCAGUGAUCUCAAUGACUGAGAUAUCUAAUCGACACAACAUCGAUAAUACUGGACUUUUCUAUUUUAAUAACGAUUUGGCAUCAUCAUCAAAUCAACACACAUUCAGUUGCUUUGAGGUCUCAAAUGCUAUAUGACAUCAUUGACUUAAGUUACUGUCACUCUUCUUGGUCAGUGGCCUUCGGAAGAAGUUCUAGCUUACCUCUGCUUGUCUCAGCCAGAUUGCUUCAGAGGUAAAAGAGUCAUUGAGCUUGGAUCCGGGUAUGGUUUAGCCGGUUUAGUUAUUGCUGCUGCCACCGAAGCAUCAGAAGUGGUGGUCUCAGAUGAAAACCCCCAAGUAGUCAAUUGUUUGUGGACUGUUCCUUGUCUUCUUGGAUUCAUAGUUGUACUUAACAAUCCAUAUAUUAAACGUAACAUAGAGUCCAUCUCCAUGGCAUUUAACAACACAAGCGUAAAAGCCAUGGAGUUGCACUGGAACCAGCAUCAACUUUCAGAGCUGACCAACAGUUUUUACGUCAUAGUUGCGAACGAUUGGAAAUAUCUCUUUGACAAACCAACGGACGAUUUAUGGACUCUGAAAUUAAAGAGGCUUGGGAUUCUACAUGACACAAAGAAAGAGCAGAAGCAAACUCGUUCGUUCGUUCUAUCAGUCAUUUUGAUAUAUGCAACUGAACUUGGAUCAGAGCACUAGUUAUUAACUUUUGAAGUUUGUUUUCUUUGUUAUUUAGUUUCACCGGCUUAGUGGUGUUUAAUUUUGUUGUCACAACGCUAACUCCCUCCAAGGGCUUUUGUUCCAGACUGAUGUUAAUUUAUUAAUCUAUACUAUUAUUUAUGAAGUGA